GAUGAACGCUGGCGGCGUGCCUAAUACAUGCAAGUCGAGCGAACGGACGAGAAGCUUGCUUCUCUGAUGUUAGCGGCGGACGGGUGAGUAACACGUGGAUAACCUACCUAUAAGACUGGGAUAACUUCGGGAAACCGGAGCUAAUACCGGAUAAUAUUUUGAACCGCAUGGUUCAAAAGUGAAAGACGGUCUUGCUGUCACUUAUAGAUGGAUCCGCGCUGCAUUAGCUAGUUGGUAAGGUAACGGCUUACCAAGGCAACGAUGCAUAGCCGACCUGAGAGGGUGAUCGGCCACACUGGAACUGAGACACGGUCCAGACUCCUACGGGAGGCAGCAGUAGGGAAUCUUCCGCAAUGGGCGAAAGCCUGACGGAGCAACGCCGCGUGAGUGAUGAAGGUCUUCGGAUCGUAAAACUCUGUUAUUAGGGAAGAACAUAUGUGUAAGUAACUGUGCACAUCUUGACGGUACCUAAUCAGAAAGCCACGGCUAACUACGUGCCAGCAGCCGCGGUAAUACGUAAGUGGCAAGCGUUAUCCGGAAUUAUUGGGCGUAAAGCGCGCGUAGGCGUUUUUUUAAGUCUGAUGUGAAAGCCCACGGGCUCACCCGUGGAGGGUCAUUGGAAACUGGGAAACUUGAGUGCAGAAGAGGAAAGUGGAAUUCCAUGUGUAGCGGUGAAAUGCGCAGAGAUAUGGAGGAACACCAGUGGCGAAGGCGACUUUCUGGUCUGUAACUGACGCUGAUGUGCGAAAGCGUGGGGAUCAAACAGGAUUAGAUACCCUGGUAGUCCACGCCGUAAACGAUGAGUGCUAAGUGUUAGGGGGUUUCCGCCCCUUAGUGCUGCAGCUAACGCAUUAAGCACUCCGCCUGGGGAGUACGACCGCAAGGUUGAAACUCAAAGGAAUUGACGGGGACCCGCACAAGCGGUGGAGCAUGUGGUUUAAUUCGAAGCAACGCGAAGAACCUUACCAAGUCUUGACAUCCUUUGACAACUCUAGAGAUAGAGCCUUCCCCUUCGGGGGACAAAGUGACAGGUGGUGCAUGGUUGUCGUCAGCUCGUGUCGUGAGAUGUUGGGUUAAGUCCCGCAACGAGCGCAACCCUUAAGCUUAGUUGCCAUCAUUAAGUUGGGCACUCUAAGUUGACUGCCGGUGAUAAACCGGAGGAAGGUGGGGAUGACGUCAAAUCAUCAUGCCCCUUAUGAUUUGGGCUACACACGUGCUACAAUGGACAAUACAAAGGGCAGCGAAACCGCGAGGUCAAGCAAAUCCCAUAAAGUUGUUCUCAGUUCGGAUUGUAGUCUGCAACUCGACUACAUGAAGCUGGAAUCGCUAGUAAUCGUAGAUCAGCAUGCUACGGUGAAUACGUUCCCGGGUCU
rnacentral:rRNA from 1 species